CCCAGGAGAAAGCGCUUUCCCGGUCGGGGGCCGGUCCCUGCAUUUUAAGCGAGAGCCGCCCGAUCCACCCACAUCAUUUUGUGCUGAGAUCACUCCUGGGUCUGCCGGGGGGAGCUUUCCUUCCUCCUGAGCUGCUGGAACACAGGCAGUGCUGCACUGUCUGCCCUGGCCCUGUGAGGAACAUCUCAGGGCACAGUGCCCCACGUCAGGCACCAUUCCCAACUUCUUCCUCAUCUAACCAAAGAAUCCCUGAGCCCUAUUUCCUUAUUUCCCUUUUCACAGUCCAUUUUCCUUUCCCACCUUCUCCCACUGCUGUCCUGGCGUUCUCUUGCCUGUGAUAUUUAUAUAGUUCUUCGCUGGAAAUGGAUUUCUUCUGGAAUUUCUUCUGGGAAUUGUGUUACACUCCAAGUAGGACACAGUGAAGAACGUUUUAGUGGAGUUACUGAAGGUGAUGGACCUGACUCAUAAGGACUGAAACUUGGAUAAAAAAAAAACCACCACAAUUCCCCUGGUGCUGGGGUCACUCUGCUCAAAAAGGAGCAAUCAUGGAAUUUAUUUCUUGGAAAACUCACACUGAACAGCAUUUUUGGAUGUAUUGUAUGUGAAGCCAACCCUGUGCCAGGUGGAUGUAUUUUGAAUUAUCCACUCUCCUUAUUUGAAGAGAUCUGUCCCUGUACUCUGAUUGCUCCUGGGCCGGUCUGCCAGCACCGUCAGAAAUGAUCACCUCACCGGUGGUUUCCUUUAAUCACCGGCAGAGCUGCUCCAGAGGAGGUGUCUCAUCCAGUGGAAAAAGCACCAUUCACUGCUUUGGGAAGCAGCUCCACGUUUUACUUCCCCACAAGCGGGAAGCAGCCGUAGGAAUUGCACUGCUCUGUCAGCUGGCUCAGCGCCUGGUGACAGUCUCUCCAGGGUGGCACUGCCCAGCCCUUGGCACACACCAGCAUCAGCUCCCCUAGAACCUGCUUUUUGUCACUUCUCUGAGUACAAAGCCGUGCCUGUAAGGUGAGAUGGAUGAAAAAAUCAAACUAUGGAGACCUCCCUAUUUCAAGAUAGUACCUGUCAGUAUUGAUACUUUUUUUCCUGUUCCUGGCCAUGUUUUUGUGGCAAAUUGUGAAAACUCAUCUAUUUGUGGUAGAUAGGUGGCUUUUCCAGGUGAGUUCACCCAAUUUCUAUGGACUCUUCAAACAUCUGAUUUUUCUUAUGAGUAGAUCUCAAUGAAGAAGUUUAAAUGAAUAAAUUUAAAUGAAUAUUCCUCCCAGCUUUCUCUAACUCCUUCUAUUUUUAUCUCUUAACUGUAAAACACCACAAGUGCAAACUGGAUUAGAGAUGCAUUUCUCAUGUGAAUAAAUACAGGUAUUUAUUGUUGCAUCUGUUGCAGCAGAUGUGAAAUUUUGUGAACCAAACCUGCUGCCCAAUGAGUAAAACCCCUGUACCAUGUGCUCAGAUGUGCACAAGCUGAAUUUUAAUUUAUUUUUUUAUUAAUUUUAUUUUUAUUUAUUUAUUAAUAUAUUAAGGUGAAACUUAUUUAUGAGGAAAGUCUUUUACUGACUUUGCCAAUAGAAAACCACCUCUGUGGAGAGUCUAAAUUGUGGUUCCAUGAGACACAUAUUGAAUUUUUUUUUUUGUUAUCAUUCUGAUGAAAACCUUUAUUGAUCUUCUGCUAUUUCAGUUUGAACUGAAGACAAAGUUGGCCACUUUAUGCUGAGAAGAAUCCAAGAGGAAAUAAAAGGGUUGCUUGAAAAUCCAAAUGAGAGAAAGUAGCUGUUGGAUGCAUUCUUGAGGAGGAAAGCACAACAGAAGGGAGCAUUUAAAAUCCUGAGAGGCUCUAAAUGCCUGGCAGUCAGACAAUAUCAAUUAUACAUGCCUCUGUGUGUUUAGAAACUCAAUAAAACCCUUCCAUUUCUCAGUGGUCCAGAGGAACAGCUUGUUCUGUAAAAGGCAUUUUCUAACUAUAGACAGGAAUCAGAGGUCGGGAGAUACUUGUAAAUCACCCCAGCAGGAAGAUACAGCAUCACAAUCUUAAGUUGAUACAGGAAAGGAGUAUUUUCUUGGCCAGAAUAUUUCCCUGCAGUGCUGUGGAACAGGGAAGUUGGGGAGGAAUCCUAAUGGAGAGACAGCAAGUAGUGAAGAGCUUCAGUCUCCAGUGGCUGCAGCUGGGAGAUGGAGAGAGCCCCGAGCAUGAAACUUUGCUGCAUGCCUGGAGAAAGAUGGAUCUCUCCUAUGUCCCACAGGCUGGAGAGGAGGGGGGAAGCACUCAGCCCUUUGGAAUGGUGUGUGCUGUGUCUGCCAACAGCUGCUGCUCCUGAGUGUCAUUAGCACCGGACUCGGAUCCAGGAAUGGGAAACACAGACGUGAUUUCAUUAAUAUUAAAGGCCUUGCUACAGGAGAGUUCUACGUGCUGACAAGAUAACACACAGCUUUAAUAUAGCAAAUUUCUUGAGCUGGUGGGGAUUCUGGUGCCUUCGUUGUGGAAAACAUUUGUUUUCAGUGUUUAAAAUGGGCCCUGAGUGAUAUGGGAGUGAAAUUCUGGUCCCUGUUUCCAUCAAAGUACUUUUCUUACAAAAACUUAACCUCCCACCUCACUUUUUCAAACAAGUGCCCUCUCCUGAUGCUGAGCAUCAAGAGUUUCAACAGUAACAAGCAUCACCACUUUCAGCUGGUUUUCAGAAUAGACAUUUACCGUGUGGUGUUUUACCCCCUUUCCCAGGACAGCUUGUUAAUUAAAGUGGAUCACUCAGGAGACCUGUCUGGAAGGAAGUCUGGGUGGGAGAGGAGGUGCAAACCCAGGGGACCAACACCAAGCACAACCAGCUGUUCUUUUGAAAGGGAGGAGUUAAAAAUCCAAGCUGAAAAGGACAAAGAAAGGGGGGGGGGAAUCUUGAUGCUGGAAAAUGAGAAGCUGCUUAUCAGAGGAAAUGUGGAGGUGUGAUGUCAGGGAAGGAAGCAUAUGGAGUCAAUGCCAGCUGUGUAUUUCUAGUGGCAUAAGGAAAAACAUGAUGGUGGUGGUAGUGAAGAUUCUUCCUGGAAAAACAGUGGGGGGUGCACGAUGUGUGCUGAAGGAAAUAGCAGAGCUGAAGGCCUGGGUUGAAUGGGUGAUGUCUGAAAGGAGCUCCUGGUGAAAGUGUGGGAUGGUGUGAAACAGGCCUUAAAAAUACGGCGAGCGACCAGCAGCCUUUCCUGAGAACCAGGUGCCCGUGGAAGUGUGGAAGCCUGCGUGUAAAAUCCGAAUUGUGUGGAAACAAGAUGUCACAUAAUUCCCUGUUAAGAUGGGAGGAGCAGGAAUGCAGUAUUCAGGAUGGAACUGUGCUUUUCCCCCAGUUUCAUAGUUUGGGAAUAUAUUUUACCCUCACAUGCAUUUAGUUGCACUGAUUAAAACUGAACUAUAUCUUCUUCCAUCACUGCCAUCAGGCUGGAAAUCCAAAAAAAGAUUUAAUUUCCUAAAGAGACAAGUCCCAGUAAUGUGUGAUUAUUAACUGGACAACUCUUCAGAAUUACAAAAUGCUCACGAAGACAAGCAAACCGACCUUGAGUUUGGAUUGUGGGGCUGCCAGCUGAAGCCCUGAGUAACCCGUGUGUAAGAAGAGGUACUACAGCACUUCUUGCCAUACCUUGACACAACAAGAGCUACCUGAGGUAAAAAAGAGUGUCCCUGUAGUGGGAUAUAAUGGCAUUUACUGCUCCAAAAUCUUUGCCAGCACGUGGAAAAAGCUGGAUGUGAGACCUCAGUCCUUACACAGCACACGAGGUGUUGUUAUUAAACAAUGGUUGUCGUUUCUUUGUUAAGAUCAGAGGUGCACUAAUGCCACACAAGACUAGAAUAAAGAAGUUUAAUACAGAAGUAAAUUAUUUUCUUGGUGGAAACCAGUAACUUGAGCUUUCUUACUGGAGAACAAACCAAAUUUCUGCACUGGGAGGACUCUGAAGCGAAGAGGUAAAAAUUCACAGAAUUUUGUAUCCCUAGCAAAGCACCAUUUUUUUUCUUUGAUAUCUGUUCCUCUUCCAGCAAUGGAAGAGGUUCCUGAGCCCUGGGACCUCCUGUCAAUUGGCUUCUUCAUGGCUGGCUUUGUCUUCAGAAUCAUCACUUUCAUACUCCUCAUCCUCAUACUGGGAGGCCCCCUCGGCCUCAGGGUCAGACUGACCUUCCUCCUCCUGCUCCGGGGAGCGCUCAGACCCAGAGCUGGGGCUGGAAUGAUCCUCCUCCUGCUCCUCUUCCUCCUGGGAAUGGCCAAGUGACUGAUCUGCCUUUGCUUCCUCUUCCUCCUCCUCCUGGGAAUGGCCAGGGGACAAGCCUGCCUUUGCUUCCUCCUCCUCUUCCUCGCUGUUCCGGACAGAGGGUGGGCUGGACUUGGGCUCAGGAGCAUCAGGGCUGGCUCUGGGCUCUUCCUCAUCCUCCAGCUCACUGCACUGCUCAUCUGGGGUGGAGAUUUUGACACCUUUUCCCUUCUCUUCCUCCUCCUCCUCCUCCUCCCAGGACUGCUCAGAGUGGGGACUGUCCUCAGCUGCUCCCUCAAGGAAUCCCCUUUCCCUCACUUUGAUCUCGAUGACUCUGAAAAGACAAUUGGCAGCUGACAAGUGGAAUGAUUAUUCACUGCAGCUGGCUUUUCAGAGGACCAGUCAAUAGAGCAGGAUGAUGAAACUUGAUUCAUCAACUGAAAUGGUCAGUUGGAUCACAGCAAGCACUGGAUAAUCCAGGUAGGAUGGGUGGUAAUCCUCAGUGUGUGACAGACACCUCACUGGGUCAAGGAUGAGAUCCAGGGGGCAUUUUACACUCCUGUCUCCUCCUGCCUCUCUCCCUGCCCAUCUCUGAAUUCCUGGGACGUGGCGGCUGUGCAUCAAGGCAAGUUAUUCCCCAUUUUAGGGAGUGAACUUCCUUGUUGCUCCUUGCUUGGAAGAGCACUUGCCCUAACAGACCUCGUUCCCCAACUGCUGAAAUGAGCAUUAUCAGGUUAAGCCUUUGGAGCAGCCCCAGAGCAUCAGCACCAGGGAAAUAAUCUUGCUUUUGUAAUGGCAUCAUUUUAUGAGCAGACAAGAAUUAAGCCACCAGUGUUUUACAGAGCUCCUCAAAUCUGAUUAAGCUGAACACUGCAGUGUGAAUUUUGCUGGUGAAUGAACUCAAACCAAAUCUGCACAAACACCCACUGUCUCUCUUCACUCUCCACCUACUCUGACUCCAAUUGCUUUCUGCUUCUGUCCCGGAGCCAGCAGAUCAUCUCCAAGGACAUAUACAUUAUAAAGCUCCUGUUCCUAACAGAAUGCCUGGUUACUGGAAAUUAGGAGUCCUGUUUGCCCAGGAAUCCUGCCCAGGCAUGAAGCAGCAGGGGCAGAGCAGCCCGUGCCUCUCACCAUCUCCACACAACAGCACCUGAAGCUGGUGAUCCUCCCGCAGUGCCAUCGUGCCAGGCCAGAUCACAAACCUCACUAAAGACUCAAACAGGAUUAAUUUUUUUGUAAGAUUAAAAAGAGCAAGAAGCAGAAAUGGUUUUAGAUCAGCCCCAGACACCAGGUCAAGCAGCAGUUGUGGGGUUAGAUCUGUGUCAGAGAGCUGGAGCCACCUGGAGUGCCAGCUCCCAGCACUGGUGUCAUUCCCUGCCUGCUGCUUCCCUCAGUCAUAUAGGAACAGUCUUUCAGUUGUAUCUCUCCUACAGUGGGGCCCGCAGGGACAAAGAAGUGACUUGUGGAAUGUUCACUGCCCCAGUGUACCAGUAUCCAGCUGUGCCAAGGCUAUUCUGUAACUACACUGUUCCUUCUCCUUUGAAUUGUUAUAAAUUUUUCCUCUUUAGCUGAUGUGUUAAUUGAGAAAACACAGGAGUCCCCUGUUAGCUAAUCUGUAAUACUCUAAGGUGGAAUAUAUAUUUCUAUAUAUAUGUUCUAAUGACAAUAUUUCCCAGUUGAAACACUAAAUUUGACCAUUUUGACUAUCUGCUUGCACAAUGUUUAAUUUAUCACGUCAUCAUGUUAACUUAGAUUAUUUUUUUAGACAUUGUAUGUUUAACAUACAAUGCAAUCCUGAACCUCCCAUUCUCAUUGUUGGAUGAGAGGUUCUGGAUUCAGGGGAAUGCCACGAAAUACCUGAAUGUUUUUAAUUUGGAUUUAGACAUCUGAGCAAGGCUCUGAUGUGGGUCAAUGGCCUCAGCCCGAGCCAGUACAAUUUUCUGGAAUUUUUUCUUUCUUUGUUUCUGCUUUGUUCUGUUCCUUUUUUGUUGUUCUUCCAGCUUUCUCUUUUCCUCAAGUGAAUUCCUGGUGGGGAAAAUAAACUAAGGCUGAAUUCAUAUUAAAUCAAGAGCACCACUUCAAAGGAAGCUUUGGCAAAGAUGAUUCCAAGGAGGAAAACGGGGUUGCCAUGAGAGGACACAAAGUAUGUGCCAUUUUAAGGGAUUCAGGAUAUCCUGGGAAACAGCAGUCAUUCAUCCCUUUCCUAGGGACAUUCUGAGAAAAAUAUACUAUUGUUUCUUCAACAAUCAUAAAUUUAAAGUAUUUUGGUUUAUAUUAUUUUAAGUUUUACAUUAUAAUUAAGCCCUUAUAUUAACAAAUUCAGUCCUGUAUUCACUGCACGGAAGAAUUAACUACAUGUGUAGAAAUAAAAAAAAAAAAAAAAAAUAUCUACUUUUAAAGUACAUAUAAAGUAGAGCAUCUCUAAGUAGUCACCUUAAGGCUUGUAGCCUUCGUCUAGUGGACUCUGUGUUUUUGGGAGACUUGGAUUUUCCAGCUCCCAAGAGCUGGGAAUUUGCACUUGAAUGCCUCAUUUGGGGUUUCCGUCUGGGAGAGGCGAAUGGCCACCGGGUUUCCUUCAGCUUCUCUUCGUCCUCCUCAAUGUCCUUCAGAAUCUUGCCCUUGUUUGAGGGGAUAUAUGAAGUCAGAAGGUUGAAGGGCUCACACACUGUGAGGUCUUUCACUUGCCUUUGCUGCAGGAGCCGUUUCUGGAAUCUCUCAUAUAACCUUUCAAAGUCUGGAAUGCAGGAGUUGAUCCUGGGUUUGUGUUCUGUUUGCUUUGGGUCAGUGCUCUUGUGUUUCUUCGUUUUUUUGGUCUCUUUUAAGGCCAGCCUGCUGUUGGGGACAGAGGAAUUACGCAGCAUCUCCUCAGCUCUCAUCCUGAUCCUGAUUUCCCUGUAGAGCUCCUCCUCCUUCAGCCUCUCAUUAAAAUCUGGGCUAUAAACACACUUGGGGACCGGUUUUGCUCUGAACACUUUGGCCGGACUUUCAGGCACGGAAAUGUCUCUUAACUGCAUUUUCCUGAUUUCAUUCCUUUGCCUCUCUCGUUCGAUGAAUUUAAAGGGUUUCUGGGAAGCCAAGAGCUUGAGUUUGCUCCUCUCCUUCACAGACCUCCUGCGCUCCUCGUUCCGCUGCACGAUGUCGUGGUAGAGCGGGAGGAAGACGGCGGCGGGCACCGGAUUGGCCCGGAAUUUUUUCUGGCACUCCGCUUCUUCCUCCAGCUGCUUCUUCAGUAAGUGAUUCUCCAGUUCGAUCUGUGACUUGGAUUUAACGUUCUGUUCUUUCUUCUGAGCUUCUCUGAUGGUCAUCUGGAAAGGCUUGGGCACGGUGACUCUGGGGGACCACUCCUUGGGUUUCUUCCAGGCCUUCCUGCAGGUGGGCGAGACGGGGGGGCUGUCUGGGAGGCGGGAGAUGUAGUCUUCCAUGGAGAACCCAUCCCACAUCUUCUCAAUCCGUUGCUUAGCCAACGAGGAUGAUCCGGUUUCACUCCCGUUUCCUUCAAAUGCUAAUUCCACGUCAGACACGUCGGAUAUAGUUGAGCCCAAGGGAUCACUUAAGUCGGAGUCUGAAAAGGAUUUGUGCAAGUUUAGAGGCUGAUACGAGCUCCUGUCCCAAGUUGGCCUUGAAAAAAGGGGGGAAAAAAAGCUUGGUUUGAGCCAGUCCAACAUUGGUGCAAAGCCAGUAAUUUCACUUUAAGGAAUCAUUGCUAGAAACAAAAAGGACAGUGGCUGAGGGGGAUGAGAAGGGAAAAGAGCAGCACUCUGGGCACUCACACCAGAUCCCAGUUUUAGUGCUGAUCACCAAGUCAGCACUUCCUAGGGAAAGGCCCUGUGCUUUCCUAAACAUGCUGCCCAGUCCCUGCUGCACACCCUCCUCUGAACCUCACAGACUGUUAGCGAGGUGAUGAGCAUUUUUAUUAUUAAAACUGACUGUUCUUUGAUCAUCUGCUCACAGGAGACGGUGAGACGAACACUUUCCAGCCCCACAAACACAGCCUGCUGUUUUACAGCUCCCUGCAAAGCAUCUGAGAAUCUUCAGAUAAAAAGUGCCCCCCCGACUUACCUACAAGACUUGAAAGAGGUGUCCCUUCUCUUGUCCAAGGGAUGUGCUCCUCUUAAAUGCAGUUUGUUCCGAUACAUACUUUCCAAUUUUUUCAUGGUCUCCAGGUGGGCAUUCUUCAACUCUUCCAGCUUCAAGUAAUACUCUUGAUUUGAAUUGCAUAUUUUGGAGAAGUCUAUCCACUUGUCACAGUCUCCUUUUAGAGGGGGGGUCUGCGCUCUGUUGGUGUUUGAAUCCAAAUCAAAGCCAUCCUGGAAAAGAUGUUUGUAAAAUUUUCUGUUAGAAGAAAGGGGAACGAGGUUCUUAAGGUUGCUUUAUUCUAAUUUAGUCUAAUGGAUGAUACAAGUAACACCAAAUAGAGUUAACCUGUAUACAAAUGUUACUGCAGAGCUCCGUGGAAUAAUCUUAUUGCAUAUUAAUUUAUGUCCUGGGGGCCCUGUAAAAGCCUGUAAAAAUUCCCAAGUCUGUCCUGUUAUCAAUAUAUUUAUAACAGGAAUUAUGAUCAAAAGGACUUACCAAAAGCAAAAACAUAACUAUUUUGUAAAGUGCAGUUUUUCCUUGAUUACUAUGCAGCUCUAAAAAAGCCUUUAGUUAAAAGCAAACAAAACCCCACCAGAAC